rnacentral:rRNA from 1 species
UCCGUAGGCGGUGUGGCAAGUCGGGAGUGAAAUCUCUGGGCUUAACUCAGAGGCUGCUUCCGAAACUGCUGUGCUUGAGUGUGGGAGAGGCGCGUGGAAUUGCAGGUGUAGCGGUGAAAUGCGUAGAUAUCUGCAGGAACACCCGUGGCGAAGGCGGCGCGCUGGACCACAACUGACGCUGAGGGACGAAAGCUAGGGGAGCAAACAGGAUUAGAUACCCUGGUAGUCCUAGCCCUAAACCAUCAGGACUUGGGGUGUCUCGAGUACUCGGGACGUCCCGGAGCUAACGCGUUAAGUCCUGCGCCUGGGGAGUACGGUCGCAAAGACUGAA